rnacentral:tRNA from 1 species
GGGGAUUUAGCUCAGUGGCAUAAGCACCUGCCUUACAAGCAGGCGGUCGUGAGUUCGAUCCCCGGUACCCA